rnacentral:rRNA from 1 species
AACGCGAAGAACCUUACCAGCCCUUGACAUCCCGGUCGCGGACUCCAGAGACGGAGUUCUUCAGUUCGGCUGGACCGGAGACAGGUGCUGCAUGGCUGUCGUCAGCUCGUGUCGUGAGAUGUUGGGUUAAGUCCCGCAACGAGCGCAACCCCCGUCCUUAGUUGCUACCAUUUAGUUGGGCACUCUAGCGAAACCGCCUCGGAUAACGGGGAGGAAGGUGGGGAUGACGUCAAGUCCUCAUGGCCUUUAUGUCCAGGGCUACACACGUGCUACAAUGGCCGGUACAAACCGCUGCAAACCCGUGAGGGGGAGCUAAUCGGAAAAAGCCGGCCUCAGUUCGGAUUGGAGUCUGCAACUCGACUCCAUGAAGCUGGAAUCGCUAGUAAUCGCAGAUCAGAACGCUGCGGUGAAUACGUUCCCGGGCCUUGUACACACCGGUACUA